GCCUUCGUGGCGUAACCGUAGCACACUCGACGCAUAUUCGAUAGGUCCAGGUUAGAGUCCCGGCUAAGGCA
rnacentral:tRNA from 1 species